CGUGCAUUGAGACGUGUGUGUCCAUGGCGCUCGUGUUUUGCUCACAUGUGACUGCCACGAUGAACGGGCAGCAACAUUCUAUCCCACCAGCAAUCAUUAACUUUGAUGCACAGGCGGACGUUAUUAGGUACGCUCGGCCGUGUGAUUUACUUAUCGUAAAGAGAACAGAGGAGCUACCGUAAUGAACUUCAAGUGGAUCCGAGGCACGUCUCUCCGCUGCGGGGGCAGAGGAGAUGCAAGCUGAAUAUCCGCAGGCACGACGGAGGAGGAAGAGGAGGAGAGAAGAUGAAGAGAGCAGUUUGAGGAGAUGGCGGAGAAAGAGACGAGGAGGGAGAGGAUGGGAAGGGAAGGAGAGCAAUUAUUGGCUUCUGCUGCAGCCAACUCUGAUGUUUUGACAGUCAGCCACUGCUGGAGGGAGACGGGCCAAGCGCUGAUGAUGAUGAAUGAUGACACUGAGGCUGGAGAGGUUCACACAGUCUUUACAGUCUUUUAUUGGUGAAGAUACAGUAUGGAGAGCCACAGGGUAUCCUUCCAGGCCCAUCGGGAUUCCAUAUAGCCUCGCUUUUGACUUCUUGAGAGUCUGAACUAAGCAAAUUUUCAUGUUGGGAUAAGGCCAAAAUAUGGGGAAAAAAAAGGAGGGGGAGCAGGAGCAUGUUGCGAAGCAAAGUGCAGUGACAUCUACACAUAUAUAUGCACUUCUGUGUCUAAAUAGUUUAGAAGGGGCCAAAAAAUCUCUAUAAUUCAUCAUAAAUCAACACAACAGAUAUCACACUGCAUGUACCCAUCACAAGUAUCCCUGCAAUAAUUCAUUUUUUUCCUCCCUGGUUAUUGUGCACUUGUUGCUAGGCAGGAUUCCUGGAGACAAAUAACUUGAACGUCAUAGACCAGUGAUCCUCAAAGUGUGGUCCAAAUAGCACUAAUGGUGCAUGAAAGACUGAAUUUAAAAAAGAAAUAUUAACAUUUAAAAUGUUCCAAAUCAAACAUAUAAGAAUGAAGCAUGUAGUUACAAACACGGCCCAUUUAACCUUUUAAUCCAGUAGGGUAAUUUUUAUUUUAUUUUACCUUAACUAAAGUGCCUUUUUAAAACUAAAAGCAAUGUAAUGGUUAAUAUUAUUAUUGUUGUUUACAUCAAUGUUAACCCUGCCCGGUGUUAACACUACAUAUUAUUUAUGUGCAAUUUGUAGUUAUCUAACAUGUUUUGUCAUUGUGAGUUAUUGGUGACGUGUUACUUGUUAUGUACUGGGAAACAAAAUACAAGAAAAUCACAGAAUACAAUGUAUUGCACUCGCAAGCAAUCAAGUGGAAUCAACAAGGUUCAAAAGGGGAACUGGUGGAUGAACAUGACGAUAAACACGUACGUCGGUUACUAAGGCGACCUUGUGCUGAACACUCUUAAAAUAGGCCUUUCUUGCCUUUGAGAAAUAAUCCCAAUAAUGCACAGUGCAAAUUGUUCUUGGGAGAGCUCUGACAAGGGAAAUGUGACCUUUGAACAGAGCUACCUUAAUCAUACUGGGCUUGAUUGCCUUCAAACUUAACAUGGAUCUCACAAA